rnacentral:rRNA from 1 species
UGGCGGACGGGUGAGUAACGCGUGGGUAACCUGCCUUACACAGGGGGAUAACACCUGGAAACAGGUGCUAAUACCGCAUAAGCGCACAGGGCCGCAUGGCCCGGUGUGAAAAACUCCGGUGGUGUAAGAUGGACCCGCGUCUGAUUAGCUUGUUGGCGGGGUAGGGGCCCACCAAGGCGACGAUCAGUAGCCGGCCUGAGAGGGCGGACGGCCACACUGGGACUGAGACACGGCCCAGACUCCUACGGGAGGCAGCAG